rnacentral:rRNA from 1 species
CCUACGGGCGGCUGCAGUGGGGAAUAUUGGACAAUGGGCGAAAGCCUGAUCCAGCCAUGCCGCGUGUGUGAAGAAGGCCUUCGGGUUGUAAAGCACUUUCAGUGGGGAAGAAAGCCUUGGGGCUAAUACCCUCGAGGAAGGACAUCACCUACAGAAGAAGCACCGGCUAACUCCGUGCCAGCAGCCGCGGUAAUACGGAGGGUGCGAGCGUUAAUCGGAAUUACUGGGCGUAAAGCGCGCGUAGGCGGUCUGAUAAGCCGGUUGUGAAAGCCCCGGGCUCAACCUGGGAACGGCAUCCGGAACUGUCAGGCUAGAGUGCAGGAGAGGAAGGUAGAAUUCCCGGUGUAGCAGUGAAAUGCGUAGAGAUCGGGAGGAAUACCAGUGGCGAAGGCGGCCUUCUGGACUGACACUGACGCUGAGGUGCGAAAGCGUGGGUAGCAAACAGGAUUAGAUACCCGGGUAGUC